UGUCUUGGUGCAUAUGCUCUCAGUGUACAUAAAAGAAAAGAUACCUUCAUCAAGGCACUACACACUUAAUGAUAGUCAUAGGGUACAAAUAAGCAAUUAGGAAACAAUAUCAAUAUAAAUCGUAAGGAUACAAGCAAGAAAGUACAGUCAUGGUUGUUCUUCAAAGCCUCUCCCCCUAAUUGAAGUCCCAGCGAUGCAGAAAGAACCCCUCCAAGAUCUAAUGUUACUUUUUGCAUGUCCAGGUGGAAUAGGAAGCAGCUGUUCUUCAGUGAAUGGAAUGACCUCAGAAAGUACGUAAUGAUGCCCUCUGCUGGUUAUAGAAGAUUAAAACCUCAGCCAGAGAGCUUAGCAGCGGAGUGGGUGAGAAUGUAUAAAGCAGAAAACAGAGCUCGGAAGUGAAAUUAAGCAACCUUCAAGGAGGUUUGUCAAUAAAACUGGGCAAGGCUUGAAAAUUGUAAUUGCAUACUAGGGAGGACUAUCUCAUUCAUGGCAGACCUUGAAUUAACUGUCAGCUGUGUACAUGUAACUAGUUCAAGAUGUUGAAACAGAAGCUGUUGGGAGGGAGGAAAAACAAACAGGAACUGAGACUUUUCCAAGUUGUUUGAUAUCCUUACCGCAAGGAAAAAGAGGUUUGUAGUAGUUUUGCAUAGGCUGGCAAGUCGAAAACCCUCCGUCGCCCAUGUUCCAUGACAACUAAAGAGAAGAAAGGGAAAUGUACCAUGUUUGAUUGUUUGGACAUUGAACAUUCGUAAAUUCACAGAGGGAGAAAGAAAUCAAGAAGGAAAGAAGGAAGGAAGGAAGGAAGGAAGGAAGGAAGGAAGGAAGGAAGGAAGGAAGGAAGGAAGGAAGGAAAGAAAGAAAGAAAGAAAGAAAGAAAGAAAAAGAAAGAAAGAUGAAUUUGAGAGGAUGACACGUGGACUGUGCUGCCCACUUAUAUUUUUUGCUGAUCAUGGCUCAGCUGCUUCAAAAGCUUUGAUAAUGAGGGGAUGCAACAGCAUAAUUGUUAGGGCUGUGCUGAGCACACUUUUAAAAUGAUCAGAAAGAAAGAAUUUGGAAUUUGUACAACCUACUGAUUAAAGCAGCUCAUCUUUUUUCCAGCUUCUAUGCCAGCAGUUGACUCAUUAAAGUUAGUGCAUCUGCAAUGUUUUCUCGACUGAAGAUUGACAAAAGAUGUGUCUGAACAGACUGUAAUCCAGCCGUUUCCUGUGUGUAUUUGUGAGGAAGAAUGAGUAGAUUUGUUUCAGGAGGAAGACUUGGAGAUCUUUCAAAUGCAAUGAAGAAAGAUUGGGAUGAACAGCUGUUUUGACUAAGCUGCAUGUAACUGGAACACCACUUCCUUGUGAAUCAAAACGUGGGAGCACCUCCUGGAGAAGUGCAGAAUUUUUUUGUGUCCCAGAGCGGUUGAUGAACUACAUCUCCCAGCAUCCCUCUCAAUUAAUCAUUCUAAAUGAGGCUGUUGGGAAUAGCAUUUUAAUGAUAUCUGAAAGGCUACAAGUUUCCUACUUUGGUUCCGCACCUAAUGCAGAAGAGAGGAUAGAAACAGGUUUGUUUGUGGAGAGUGGGAGGGUGAGAAAAAAGUCAAGAUGGCAGCUGUGACUGCAUGUUUGUAGCCCUGCUCUUUUUCAGAUGUAACAACAACAACAAUGUCGUGUCCCACUCCUCCGCUGACGGCCGGCUCAGGGAAAUCUGAAUCAGGCUUGCCUCUGCAGCUCUGCCCAAAGUCCUAGCAAAGUCCUCAGAGCAGACAGGAGACCAGUAAGUGACUUCAGCAAGAUAAGUUCGACUUUGCCUGACUCAGAGACUGCCAGAAAGCAGAUCCUUUAUAUAGGCCAUGGGGUGUGGCUCCAUGACUCAGCACUCAUUAAGGCCUGCCCCUCCCUUCCUUCUGUUGCCUCCGCCUAUCCAGUCUUCUGAUGUGAGGGUCACUCCAAUCAGCAGCUGUUGGAAAUAAACUUUCCUCAGGCUCACAUGCUGUGGAGGAAGGGGAGGGGUCUAGCUGCUCCGUUUGCCUGGGAAUGGAGCCAGGGCUGGGGCCGGGGGAUGCUCCCUCCUCUGCAGCCUCCUUGGGCAUGGAGCUAGGACUGGGACCGGGAGGUGCCCCCUCCUCUUCAGCUUGUCUGGGCAUGGAGCCAGGACUGGGGCCGGGAGGCAUACAUUCCUCCGUGUUCGGGAGCAGAUAAGAAGGCCCCGGCUGCUGUGAGAGCGGGCAAGACACAACAAACAAUAAUAAUUGUGAAGAUUAUUAUUGUGAAGAUGGUGAAGAUCUUGUGGGACUUUUGAAUACAGAUGGAUCAUCAUUUGGAACACAAAAUGCCACGGUUGUUGAGGGCCGAAGUGUACAGUUUAUUGAUAUCGCUGUACCAGGAGAUGCCAGAGUCAAAGAAAAAGAACUGGAAAAAAUCACGAAAUAUCACGACCUGGCCAUCGAAACUACAUGGUUACGGAUGAAACAUGUAACCGUGAUACCCAUUGUCACUGGGGCUCUUGGUACCAUGUCCAAGAAUUUUACAGAACACAUCAAGAAAUUGCAGCUUCCUGCAAUAACACCAGCGGAACUGUAAAAAACUGCGCUACUCGGAACAUCAUAUAUUUUAAGAAGAUAUUUGGCUGAUACCUAGGACGCUGGCAGCAACCCGUAUCAACCAUUAGUAUCAGUCGAUCGUAUUUGUGACACAUUUUUAAAUGUUCAGUUGACUGAGUUUCAUGUUUAAUGAAAAAAAGAGAUAAUAAUAAAAUGGUGGGAUACCCACGGACAAGAAUUUUCUCUUUUAUACUUAAGCAGAAUAACAGAGUUGGAAGGGCCCUUGGAUGUGUUCUAGUCCAACCCCCUGCAUAAGCAGGAGACCCUAUUCUACUCCAGAUGAAUGGAUGUCCAGCCUCUUCUUAAAAGCCCCAGAGCAUCCCCAAACCCUGAAGGCAAGCUGUUCCACUGGUAAAUUGUUUUCACUGUUAAGAAGUUUCUCCUUAGUUCUAAGGAGUUCUUAGUUCUCUUACUUCUCUCUUUGAUUAGUUUCCAUCUAUUGUUUCUUGUCUUGCCUUCUGGUGCUUUGGGAAAAUAAGUUGUCCCCCUUUUCUUUGUGACAGCCCCUCAAAUACUGGAAGACUGCUAUCGUGUCACCCCUAGUCCUUCUUUUCACUAGACUUGUUGUUGUUAUUGUUAGUCCGACCCAUUGCAACCCCAUGGACAACAUUCCUCCAGGCCUUCCUAUCCUCUACCAUCCUCUGGAGUCCAUUUAAGCUCACGCCAACUGCUUCAGUGACUCCAUCCAGCCACCUUGUUCUCUGUUGUCCCGUUCUUCUUUUGCCCUCAAUCUUUCCCAGCAUUAAGCUCUUCUCCAGUACAAACCCAUGAUAGCUACAUAGAUAUAGAUAUAGGGGCUUGUGAUUCUUUUCUUAGAUCUAGGACUACCAUACCUGAGCUACAUGUUUCUGAGUUAUAUAAGACUUUUCUGAAUCUCUUCUUUGCUCGUUUGUGGAUUUUGUCUCUCAGAUCUGGUACUUAUUUCAAGCAACUUAUUACAGGGGAAAAACACACCAUCAAAAAAAAAAAAGGUGGUACAGCAUUUCCUGUUUUUUGCACUUAAACUGAGUAGUCUGCAAAGAGCUAGUAGUCACUAAAGGAGACACCGUGGAAAGGGAGGAGUUGUAGUUUCCCCAAAUUCUCUGUUUAAAUGUUUUCUUUACAAAUGGAUAGAUGAGAAAAUAAACUAUAUGCAAUGUAUUUUCUCAAAAAAGCAGGUGUGGAUAAGGGUGUGUUUGGGGGUGGCUGAGGUCAUGUACUUCUAAGCCACGAUUUAGAAACCAGAGGAGCUAGGUUCAUGCUACGUGAUAAGGUAAAACAAGCACGUCUCAUUUUAGUGAAUUGCGUGAAGAGAAACCGAGAGAUUUCCAAGUCAGACCCUUCACUUAACCUGCUUUUCUUCUUCUUCUUUCCUAAUUAUAUAUUCAAGCACACAAAUGUGCACAUACACUGAAAGGAUUUGAUUGCAGAAGUCCCUGGAAAUGACCCAGACUCAAUGUAGACCGAAAUGUAUGUAUUACUAAGUGUAGCUUACUAAAAGCCCUAAACUGAAGCAAUCUAGAAUAUUUUUUAAAAAUAUUUUAAAAAUAUUUUAAGUAUAAAAUAUUUUUUUAUAUUUAUAUAAAAAACCUAUACUAGGGAUUCAAACCGCCGAACUGCUGAGCUUCCUGAUCGACAAAUUCAGCGUCUUAGCCACUGAGCCACAUAGCCAGGCAUAAUAGUUUAAUACAGUGGUUCUCAACCUUUACAGUGCUGCGACCCCUUUAAUACAAUUCCCCAUGAUGUGGUGACCCCCAACCGCAGAAGGGAAAUAAAAGUGGCAAACUGUUUUUUUGAAUUUAUCGUGCCUGAAGCCGUAUUGGCUAGCGAUCUGAACUGCUUGCAAUUGCCUUGAGGAUGGAGGAAUUAAAGCGGAGACUCCUCCCCUAUUAAGUUUAUCGCGCCUGAAGCCAGAUUAGGCUAGCGAUUGGGAGUGAUUGCAGCUGGCUUGAGAGGGAGACAUCAGAGCAAAGAUUUCUCUCUUUUUUAAUUCAUCGCGCCUGAAGCCGAAUUCGGCUAGCGAUUUGAAGAGCCUGCAGCUGGCUUGUGGAGUCAACCAUUGGAGCUCGAUUCUUCAACUCACAAGUAUACUUCCCAUAUUUCCAAUGGUCUUAGGCGACCCCUGGCAAAUCGUCAUUCGCCCCCCCAAUGGGGUUGCGACCCACAGGUUGAGAA